rnacentral:rRNA from 1 species
UACGGAGGGUGCAAGCGUUGUCCGGAAUUAUUGGGCGUAAAGAGCUCGUAGGCGGUUUGUCGAGUCUGCUGUGAAAGUUCGGGGCUCAACCCCGGAACUGCAGUGGGUACGGGCAGACUAGAGUGCGGUAGAGGAGACUGGAAUUGCUGGUGUAGCGGUGGAAUGCGCAGAUAUCAGGAGGAACACCAGUGGCGAAGGCGGGUUUCUGGGCCGCAACUGACGCUGAGGAGCGAAAGCGUGGGGAGCGAACAGG